rnacentral:rRNA from 1 species
UACGUGAGGGGGCUAGCGUUGUCCGGAUUUAUUGGGCGUAAAGAGCGUGUAGGCGGCCAGAUAGGUCUGCUGUGAAAACUCGAGGCUCAACCUCGAGAUGUCGAUGGAAACCGUCUGGCUAGAGUCCGGAAGAGGAGUGUGGAAUUCCUGGUGUAGCGGUGAAAAUGCGCAGAUAUCAGGAAGAACACCUAUGGGCGAAGGCAGCACUCUGGGACGGUACUGACGCUGAGACGCGAAAGCGUGGGGAGCGAAACAGG